rnacentral:lncRNA from 1 species
GCACAUUAAGAAAAAAACUCAUUUGGGGGAGACAGUCGUCAAAUAUGAAUUAGGUUCCUUGCUCUCGGCAAAUGCUACAUGAGAACAAGUUGUAAGUCACUCAUGCAGGCCGUAGAAGAAUGGCAUGAAAGCAGACUAUUAGCUCAGAGAUCAAUUUCCGUAUGUUUUACCUAUGAAAACUACUAAGUGGGCAUGUUGUUACUGCUACUAUCAUCAAGGUUCAAAAUCCUGUCCGGUACCAGUUUUGGCACCUUUAUCAGACUGGGACCUUACAGUAUUCCCCCCCC